AGAGGCAAUGGUUUGGACUAAAAUUCUCUAAAGUUGAGGAUCACAGGAAAAUAUUUCUGGGGUGAUACCAAGAGUAGGGUGGUUGGGCACAUUAGUCUCAGUGGGCCUUCAUGACCAUUUGGAGCAUAGCACACUGCUCAUUAUUUUUAAUUAAAAUUGUCUGCAUGUGUGCUAAGUCACUUUAGUUAUGUCUGACUCUUUGUAACCCACUGGACCAUAGCCCACCAGGCUCCUCUAUACAUGGGAUUCUCCAGGCAAGAAUACUGGAGUGGGUUGUCAUGCCCUCCUCCAGGGGAUCUUCCUGACCCAGGGAUUGAACCCAUGUCUCUACAUCUCCUGCAUUGGCAGGCAGGUUCUUUACCACUGAACCACCUGGGAAGCCCCCAAAAUUGUCUACCCUUCAUCUAUGGCUGAAGCUGCUACAGACCUACCAUUAGUUUAAUAUUUUAAGAAAGGAUUCUUGCUUAUUUUCCUAGUUAUAAUGAUAAAAUCUGUACUCUGCUAUUCAUCAUCCAAGCAGCCUUUGAAAUGAUCACUUGUGCUUUUAAUAAUUGACUAGAGAGGAUCAAGACACAAAGUACAGUGAGCGAUUGGGUGCUGCCCCCUCAAAGCAUUUUUAGAAUAGAGCCAAGUAUAAAUGAAUACAUAUACAGACAAUAACCAACUAGACCCAUGACUUCAGCUUAAUGAUCACAAUGUGCUGACUCAGCUUAGCAGCCACCAACAUGAAAACACUUUCCCAACGGAGACACAUGGGAAAAACCCCCACUGCCAAGCGUGUUGGACGAAGAGAAGCCUGAUGAUUUUCUAAACAGCUAGCUUUUCUUUCAUAAGGCUAACAGAAUACAUCUAAAAUUGUUUAGCAUAAUAUUUACCUUCAUUGUUUUCUACUGUGAAAGACACGAGUGUUUCUUGUUUUCAUUCCUUUGUUAUUUCCCUUUGUUGACGUUGGAUGUUGGGCUUAUGCUAAAAACUGGCAGAAGAGGUGCAUUGGAUUUCUCAUUUGGCUCAUACUCUGUUACACAGACAGUCUUGUUCUAGUCGCCUCCUUUUAACCACCCACUCCUCACUUGGGAUUUCAGAAAGCCUGCUGUCUUUAUGUAAGUCUAAUCAAGGCUUAUUGAAUGAUUCCCAAAUACUGUGGCAAAUAUUAAAAAUAUAAAAUAUUAGCAGGGAAGCUGUGACUUUUAGGUCUUCAGAAGACUUUUGGGUCUAUUUUCCUCCUCUUUGUCAUCCUUUGAUGUGCACUAAUGAGGUCUCUGGCUUUAUAGAGAUGCUCUGUUUGCAAAUCAGAGGUAGAAGUUCACUGAGUUAUUCUGAAGACGAAGAAACGCCCAAGUGCUACAGUUUCUGGGUUAAAAACUGGUAAAUGAUGACACCUUUUGUGGAAAUAGGAUGCAGAGGAGACCCAGGG
ensembl:lncRNA